GGGUAGUCGGGUGUAGGAGCCGGGGAGAAACGGAGGUGGGUGUCGUGAUGCGGAAGUAAUGGGCGUAAAGCGUGUGGAGGCGGCUUUGUAAGGUAGAGGUGAAAGCCAGGGGCUAAAACGCGGAACUGCCUUUGAGAAUGGUGAGCUAGAAGUUUGGAGAUGGGAGUGGAAUUCCGAGUGUAGAGGUGAAAUGCGUAGAUAUUCGGAAGAACACCAGUGGCGAAGGCGACUCACUGGACACUGAUUGACGCUGAGGUGCGAAAGCGUGGGGAGCAAACAGGAUUAGAUACCCGAGUAGUC
rnacentral:rRNA from 1 species